UACCAUGAGCAUGCACACCUAUCCAUCGCGUUGUGGGUAAAAUAUAGUUAACGUAAUUAUUUCAGACCUGACAACUCUCAGAUGAACAGGCCAUUGGACGAGUCAAAAUCAAAGUCGCAUGUGUACUUCGGAAAUGUUAAGAACGAUGAUCCCGUUUACAACAAUACUGUGCUGGAGAAUGCGGGGCAAACAUUUCUUUUAGUAGAAAAUUGAAAGACUGACGCCGGUAGACGAUGUUACCAUUGAUUUUUUAUACAAUCUCAUUGUUUGUGCCAGCGAAGUAUUCAAUGACUUUAUAUCGUCACUACAGCCAAUGAACCAGCAAGUUAUUGACAAAAACAAUAUUUCAACAAUAUUACAAAAAAAAUAUGUGAUUUAUUACAUUUAUAAAUAUAUGCAGUUGUAAGUAUUUUUAUGAAGUCACACAAAGAACAAGAUAUUGUGACAGGAUUACAUGACGGUAAAGAUAACCUGUUAUAAAUUCCAGAAAGCCAAGAUCCUAUUGACUCUAAUCACUUCAAAUGUCAACAUUUUUGUAUAUUUUUGUGAAAUGAACACGAUGCGUUUA